AAUCAACGCUGGCGGCGUGCCUCAGACAUGCAAGUCGAACGCGAAAUUUCCCUUCGGGGAGAAAGUAGAGUGGCGCACGGGUGAGUAACACGUAGGUAAUUUGCCUUUGGGUGGGGAAUAACUCAGGGAAACUUGAGCUAAUACCGCAUAAUGCAGCGGCUCGACAUCGAGACAGCUGUUAAAGCGGGGAUUCGCAAGAACCUCGCGCCUGAAGAGAAGCCUGCGGCAGAUUAGCUAGUUGGUAGGGUAAUGGCCUACCAAGGCAACGAUCUGUAACCGGCCUGAGAGGGCGGUCGGUCACACUGACACUGACAUACGGGUCAG
rnacentral:rRNA from 1 species